ACAACCCUGGGAUCAUGACCUGAGCUGAAAUCAAGAAUCAGAUGCCCAACUGAGGAGCCACCCAGGAGCCCCUGGUCCACUUUUAAAUAGAUAUGGAACAAAACACAUACCUGAUGUGAUGAUCUGGAUCCACAAGGUCAAGAAACUUUUGGAAAAAAAAAAAAAAGAUUAAACUAUAGCAGAGGUUCCAAAACAUUCUUGGUUUGCAGUGCCCUUGAUAUUUCGAUAAUUGUUUUUACAGUGCCCUUAGGACACAAGAAAUAGAGCCAAACAACUUAACAGGUAUUUCUGUUCUAACAAAUAAGUAGUUAUUUGAAAAAAAUACACAGCAAUCAGCAGAAAAGCCAAUAUUUUAAUUUUAUUCAUAAAUAACCACAGUUACUUACAGCAUGUGGGCAUCUCCCAGGCACUGUGCAACUUCUAAGAUCAGACGCUGCCCCUCAGUUCCUUUUCCACAUUGAUUUUGCAUUGUACUCUCUUAUUAUCACAAGUUCGAUGGGAAAAUAUAAAUAUAUGACAUCAUCGAAAGGAAUGGAGCACCACCUACUGUUGAAACUGUUAACUUCUCUGGCCUAGUAAUUCACAAGGAGACUCACAGAGCCCAAGUGUUGCUAGUAUUUCCCUCGAAAUGUUAAAAUACUUCCUGGCACCACAGUGGGUUCCCUGCUACACCCCAGGAUGCCUCAGCAUGCACUGUGGACAGCACUGGACUGUAGAUCAUAAAUUGAAGAGCAGAAACCUCCUCGCGCUAAUUUGACAGGUGAUUCAGAGAAGCCAUUUAACGACUGCCGCUUGAAACAGCAGCAUCAGAUUAAAGCAUCGUCACAGCUAACAUUUACUGAGCCUUACUUUGUUCCAGACACUCUGCUCACUGCUUCAGAUGUAUUAACUCCUUGGAUGCUCACAACAACCCUACAGACUAGAUGCAAUUUAGAUCCCUGUCUUACAGAUGAGUAAACCAAGGCUCAGAGCACUCAAGUAUUUGCCUGCUAGACUUGGCUGUCAGCGUCUGUCUGACCUCGUAACAGCUCAGUUAUUUUCCUUCCCCUGUACAUCCACUACUUCACAGAGCCAUUGCAAGGCGCAAAUGAAAAAACAUUCCCAGAAAACGCUUUGGCAUUCAGUGAUUGCGUCUGGCUCAAUACCACAAAUAUCUGCUGAGAACCUGCUGUGUGAAACCCAAGGGUAGAGAGGGAAAAAAAAUGUUAAGACUAGUUUCAAAGAGCUACACAAAUAUGUUUGCAUUAUUAUAAUGCACAAUGCUUUUACUUUUCCUUGAUUUUAAUUUUCAGAAUACAUCAGUGAUAUUCAAAAUAGUUACAUGUGAGCAUUUUAAAAUUAGAUAUGCAAUUAGCAGUCUUUUUGGUCAUUGUGAUGAAAAUGUGUCUUUUCUUUUUAUUUCCCUUGAUAACCUUCUCUAAACUUCUAUUCUGGUUCAAUGACCUGCAAUAAUCUUUUCUCCCUGAGUCAGGACAAGUGCCUUGGGCACAUCUUUCUUCUUCAUCAUUUAAAUUUAAUGUUCAGCCGUUUAACAUUUUUAUAUUUCAAUUGGUUAGUGUAUUUAAGAGACCGUGCACUCGCUGGUUGAAUGUACUAUUUAAAAAUGUUUCAAAAGUAACUUCCCAACUGCCAAUAUUGGCAGUAAUCCUCAUUGUGUUUCCCUGUCACCAACUGAUUUCCCUUUCUUAAUGACAAAAGCUUCAAUUUGCUAUUUGAUGCUAAGAUGUCCUGUGUAACAGCAGUUCUCUUUCUGAAUCUUAAACUCUCCACAUAGUCGCUCCUGUGGAGAACAGCACAGUUAGAAUGUCUGACCUUGGUCAUAAACCCACAGGCAACUGUUCAAUUGCCUGGGUCACGCAAGUAGAGUAAAAUAUAGAAAGACAAAGAAGGACCCAAUCCCAAAUCCUCCAACUUCCACGUCAUUAUGUCUGUGGAAUCCUAUGUCCUCCUGCUGGCAAUUCAAUUUGUUGAACGAAAUGGAGGGAUCAAGGUGAAUACAAGAGAGUUAAGGAUUCAGGUCCUUUUUGUUCCCACUGAGCUAUUUUACCUCCGUACUCCACAAGUCGAACAGAUCUAGAGGUUGUUAGAAGGUUAUAGAGAUGCUACAUGUUCAUUAUAACAAAUUCCCUCCAAUCUAUAUUAUAGACAUGGCUAAGUAUUUGUUUACUCAUUACCUUACUUGUUUGUACUAUUAUUAAACAAUAUAAACACUUGAUUUGCAGCA